GCCGGGACUUCAACAUUUGCUCGAGAUAGGCAGAGUGCUCGUAAUAUCGAUGCUCGAGAUAACGAAGUUUUACUGUAAGUACAACCGGGUACCACCGUUAUCACCGGAUUGAAAUCGGGGAUUAAAUCAAGUCGGCCUACGGAUUCUCAAAAUCGCACUGUAGUUAUACCAACACUUUGUAUUGGGCUUUAUCACCUUGUCAUUAUUUAUGACAAUACACUGGUAGGUUUAUAACAAUAUGAAAUUUCUUUAGCUGGUGACGUAAAAGUACAUACAUUCCAGAGCUAUUGAAAUAACCGAAUGAUACAAAAAAAUACUCUUCUCGUCAUAGCGGUUGUCUCUCUUUGUAAUAAACUGUGAUCUUUUUACAUACACUAUCAACAUACAUUUUUACUAAAUCGUAUUUUUUGAUAAUUCAUAUUUUUGUGAUAGAAGUAUUAUAUUAGUAUGUAUCAUUUUUUAGGAAUAACUGGUCAGAAAAAAUGGAUUCCUCUCUCAAACUGAGAACCCAAUGGUCCCCAUUUAUUUACUAUUCAGACCUGUGAAUGUAUUGUGCACCGUUACUGUAUGCAAUAUUCGUGUUAAAGGUACUUUGUAUG
rnacentral:sRNA from 1 species